GCAGUUUAUGACUGCUGUGUACCCUCCAUACAUAUUGGCUUUUCCUUCCUAGAUCUAUAUAGAGCUAGAUCUGCGAUACCAGCCUCCUGAUGGUUCAGCAGGUACAUGGGUCGAAGAGGAUUUUGUCUACCAGAUGAAAGACAGCUCAGAGUUAAUCAUCCGCAAUGUUGGAUUUGAGGAGCUGCCGCCAGCAGAUGUGAAGCGAGCUCAGGACUUGGAUAAGAAGGCCACGGCGCUGGGCCGGAAGCUCGUGAAGGGCCUGGAGACUGACGAGGAGGAGGACGAUUAUGACGAUGAGUGCGAUAUGGAGUUCUUGGGCAUCGUCUUCAG
rnacentral:lncRNA from 1 species